UACGUAGGGUGCAAGCGUUGUCCGGAAUUAUUGGGCGUAAAGAGCUCGUAGGCGGUCUGUCGCGUCUGCUGUGAAAUCCAGGCUCAACCCUGGACCUGCAGUGGGUACGGGCAGACUAGAGUGCGGUAGGGGAGAUCGGAAUUCCUGGUGUAGCGGUGAAAUGCGCAGAUAUCGAGGAGGAACACCGGUGGCGAAGGCGGAUCUCUGGGCCGUAACUGACGCUGAGGAGCGAAAGCAUGGG
rnacentral:rRNA from 1 species